GUGAGUGUAACGGCCCACCAAAGGCUGGCCGAUGUGGUAACCGGCCUGAGAGGGUGAACAGGUCACAUUGGAACUGAGACACGGUCCAGACUCCUACGGGAGGCAGCAGUGGGGAAUAUUGCACAAUGGAGGGAACUCUGAUGCAGCGACGCCGCGUGAGCGAUGAAGGAAUUCGUUUCGUAAAGCUCUGUUCUAUGGGAAGAAAAGGACUGUACCAUAGGAGAGAGCCCCGGCUAAAUACGUGCCAGCAGCCGCGGUAAUACGUAUGGGGCGAGCGUUGUCCGGAAUUAUUGGGCGUAAAGGGUACGCAGGCGGUUUACCAAGUUGGAUGUGAAAUCUUGUAGCUCAACUACAAACGUGCAUCCAAAACUGGCUAACUUGAGUUAAGGAGAGGUAAGUGGAAUUCCUGGUGUACGGUGGAAUGCGUAGAUAUCAGGAGGAAUACCGGUGGCGAAGGCGACUUACUGGACUUAUACUGACGCUGAGGUACGAAAGCGUGGGGAGCAAACAGGAUUAGAUACCCUGGUAGUCCACGCCGUAAACGAUGAGUGCUAGGUGUCGGGGGUCAAACCUCGGUGCCGACGUUAACACAUUAAGCACUCCGCCUGAGGGAGUACGUGCGCAAGCAUG
rnacentral:rRNA from 1 species